UAAUACGGAGGAUCCGAGCGUUAUCCGGAUUUAUUGGGUUUAAAGGGAGCGUAGGCGGACGCUUAAGUCAGUUGUGAAAGUUUGCGGCUCAACCGUAAAAUUGCAGUUGAUACUGGGUGUCUUGAGUACAGUAGAGGCAGGCGGAAUUCGUGGUGUAGCGGUGAAAUGCUUAGAUAUCACGAAGAACUCCGAUUGCGAAGGCAGCUUGCUGGACUGUAACUGACGCUGAUGCUCGAAAGUGUGGGUAUCAAACAGGAUUAGAUACCCUGGUAGUCCACACAGUAAACGAUGAAUACUCGCUGUUUGCGAUAUACAGUAAGCGGCCAAGCGAAAGCGUUAAGUAUUCCACCUGGGGAGUACGCCGGCAACGGUG
rnacentral:rRNA from 1 species